CGGGCCAUAACGGCAGCUAAUAAUGCAAGUCGAGGGGUAGUGGAGCUUGCUCCAUGAGACCGGCGCACGGGUGCGUAACGCGUAUGCAAUCUACCUCUAUCUGGGGGAUAGCCCGAAGAAAUUCGGAUUAACACCGCAUAAAAUCACAGUACCGCAUGGUACAAUGAUCAAACAUUUAUAGGAUAGAGAUGAGCAUGCGUGUCAUUAGUUAGUUGGUGGGGUAACGGCCCACCAAGACCGCGAUGACUAGGGGAUCUGAGAGGAUGACCCCCCACACUGGUACUGAGACACGGACCAGACUCCUACGGGAGGCAGCAGUAAGGAAUAUUGGUCAAUGGAGGCAACUCUGAACCAGCCAUGCCGCGUGCAGGAAGACAGCCCUCUGGGUCGUAAACUGCUUUUAUUCGGGAAUAAACCUAUCUACGUGUAGAUAGCUGAAUGUACCGAAGGAAUAAGGAUCGGCUAACUCCGUGCCAGCAGCCGCGGUAAUACGGAGGAUCCAAGCGUUAUCCGGAUUUAUUGGGUUUAAAGGGUGCGUAGGCGGCCUGUUAAGUCAGGGGUGAAAGACGGUAGCUCAACUAUCGCAGUGCCCUUGAUACUGAUGGGCUUGAAUGAACUAGAGGUAGGCGGAAUGUGACAAGUAGCGGUGAAAUGCAUAGAUAUGUCACAGAACACCGAUUGCGAAGGCAGCUUACUAUGGAUUUAUUGACGCUGAGGCACGAAAGCGUGGGGAUCAAACAGGAUUAGAUACCCUGGUAGUCCACGCCCUAAACGAUGAAUACUCGCUGUUGGCGAUACACAGUCAGCGGCUAAGCGAAAGCGUUAAGUAUUCCACCUGGGGAGUACGCUCGCAAGAGUGAAACUCAAAGGAAUUGACGGGGGCCCGCACAAGCGGAGGAGCAUGUGGUUUAAUUCGAUGAUACGCGAGGAACCUUACCCGGGCUUGAAAGUUAGUGAAGUUUCCAGAGAUGGGAGCGUCCGCAAGGACACGA
rnacentral:rRNA from 1 species